GCAUUCAUAUAGCUAAUGCUUUAAGAUUGUGCAUUCAUGUAGUAAUGCAUUUAAAAAUGAGCCUAACUUGCAAAUGUACUGAUAUAAGCUUUGCAUUUAGAGAACUGUAUAGAACUUGCAUUGUCAUUGUUAGAAAUUAAAAUCUGCUUGUCUUGACUCAGUCCAGUUCUGAUUGUUGCUAUGCCAUAGUUAAAUCCAUCAGUGAUGUCUUAUAAGCAUUUAGAAGUAUGUCUAAGCUAUUUAAAUCAUUGGCCUUGAUAAAACUAGUGAGCAUAAGCAUGAAUUGUGUCACUCGUGUCGCCUUAAUUGCAGAAGUAUCAUCUAGACUUGUGUUCCAUGUUGGAUUGAAUCUGUUUCAUUCAUAUAGUUAGUGUAACCUAAUGCAUUCAUCUAUUGUUGCAUUUAAAAAAAAAACUGAAUUGAUUGUCUAGCUUGUUUCAAGAAUCAUAUAUUAUUGUGGCAUUGGUGAUCAAACAGGAUGGAUUAUCUUGGUUUGAUCCCAAUGGGAUGAUCUGAUCUUGCAUUGAGUUUUGGUGGUGUUAGGUACACAAGGGAAGUGAUACAUGUAACUCGCCAUCAACCAAGAAUGUAGAGACAAAGGUCUUGUGCCAUUGCAUAUCAUCACUAGGACAUGUUAGUCCAUAAUCUAC
rnacentral:lncRNA from 1 species